rnacentral:rRNA from 1 species
UACGUAGGGUGCGAGCGUUAAUCGGAAUUACUGGGCGUAAAGCGUGCGCAGGCGGUUGUGUAAGACAGAUGUGAAAUCCCCAGGCUUAACCUGGGAACUGCAUUCGAGACUGCAUUGCUAGAGUAUGGGAGAGGGAAGUGGAAUUUCCGGUGUAGCGGCGAAAUGCGUAGAUAUCGGAAGGAACAUCAGUGGCGAAAGCGACUUCCUGGACCAAUACUGACGCUCAUGUGCGAAAGCGUGGGGAGCAAACAGG